ACGGGCGCGGGGGCUGGCCAUGUGACGGGGGCUUCCCACGCCAGGCCGGCUCCCCUCUUCCCGCGGGACUCUCCCCUCGCCCCCAGCCCGCUCUCGCCCCUCCACCUUGUGUCGCUGGCUGGGACCGAGACCCGGACAGCGGCACCCUCGAGGAGAAAUGGGUCUGGGGCCGAAGUGCCUGGCCCAGAGCAGCAUUUAUCGGGAUGAAGAUGAGUGGAAAGAAUUUGAACAAAAAGAGGUUGAUUACAGCGGCCUCAGAGUUCAGGCGAUGCAAAUAAGUGAAAAGGAAGAAGAAGAUAAUGAAAAAAGAGAAGAUCCAGGUGAUAAUUGGGAAGAAGGUGGAGGUGGUGGUGGUGGUGUCGAAAAAUCUUCCGGCCCCUGGAAUAAAACCGCUCCGGUACAGGCACCUCCUGCUGCAGUAAUUGUUACAGAAACCCCAGAACCAGCGAUGACUAGCGGUGUGUAUAGGCCCCCUGGAGCCAGGUUAACCACAACAAGGAAAACACCGCAAGGCCCACCAGAAAUCUACAGUGACACACAGUUCCCGUCCCUGCAGUCCACUGCCAAGCAUGUAGAAAGCCGGAAGAAGAAGUGAGGAGAAAUCAUUGAAUGAUGAGAACUUUACUUGAAUAAGAAAACCAUUGCCCUUAUGCAUAAAGAAAGAGAGGGAUAAAGAAAUGGAGAAGAGCUUUGAAGUAGUAAGACACAAAACUAGAGAUACUGAGCCUUCGUAAGGGCUGACUACCUCAGGUUUGCUGCACUCGUCGCGGACUUCUUGUGGAUCACAACUUCUGGACACGAAGGUUACAGCUAGUAAGUGUCGGUGUGAAGCUUGAAACCAGCUCUCCUGGAUUCCUAUCAAAUCCUGCAGAAAGUCAGCCAUCUCGGUUCUGAUCUGCUGUAAAAGAUGAAGAUUUAAGUGACCUUAAUUAACCUGUCCUGUGCCCCACCCUUAAGGAAUACUCUGUAGUGGGCUGUGUUAGACUUCCUGGAACGUGCCGCUCUCAAAAGAACUCCUGUGUUCAGAUAAUCUGUGUAGUAGGGCUGUGAUUUUAUAAUUUAAACUUUGAGUUGUAUCCUGGGGUAACCAUAAGUUAAAUUCAACCAAACUUGGGUCCACCCAGUGGGAAAGGGGGUGGGGGGGAGUGAUCUUUCUUCUUUUAGUGAUUUCUUAUUAUUUGGGUAGUGCUUUUUCUGUGUUCCACAUUAAGGCCUUUUUUUUUUUUUUUUUUUUUUUUUUUUUUUUUUUUUUUUUUUUUUUUGGAAUAAGUUCUUUGACAGAGCAUAUUGCUUGGUUGAAUAAGUAACCUGAAAUAUGCGUUAGGAUUGUGAAACGUCUCGUGAAAUUUGCCAAUCCCUAGAGUGGAACCAAAUAGCCUUUGGUGUAAAGGGCAGUGGAUGCAGGGGGCUCUCCUUCAGGUGCUGCUAAAGCCUCCUCUGAUCAGGUCUAAACUGUACAGUAAACUGCAGUGGAAAGAGUAAGGGCUCUGCUCAGGCCACGUGAUUCACUGACCUGUCCUUAUAAAUCCAGAGCAACGUGAGCAGAACCUUCACCUAAAACCCACUUGGGUUUUCACGGAUCUUGCGUGAUCUUUGACAAGAUUUCCAGAUACACUUGUGCCCAAAUUGUUAAGGUAUUGGACCUUCCGUAGACGCAAUGACUGUGCCAGCUUAGCUCUGUUCUCAACCUUUUGGUAUGUCUGUGUUCGUUUGAAGAGUCAGGGGCGAGAGGGACAGGUGAUGUAGCACUUCUGUUUUUAAUAAUUACAGCUUAAACUAUCCAGUAAUUUUUAGUCCUUAAAGGGACUUCAAAAAGCUACCCAGGAUUACUGAGAAGUCUUUCCAUCUAAUGAGAUAGUCUGGUAAUUUACUAGUUUUGUAUCUGGUUCAAUAGAAAUACUUCAAAGUGGUAUGUGACUGCUUGAUGCAGAGUCUGGGUUUCUCUAUAAUAAAUCCCUUUGCCAAAUGCAGGAGUUGCAGACUUGCUACUGGCAAGAGUGAAGCAAACGAGCGAGUAGAGUGAGUAGAACUAUUCCUGUGUGGGGGCAUCUCCUAUGGGAGUUUAGUCUGAUGAAAGUGUCAGUGCAGGAAUCAGCUCCUGGGAGUUGACAGUAUCUCCUGACAGGACCUGCCCACCACACCUGGGCCCUAAUGGCGUUGUUGGAGGCGGCAGGCAGGAUGCCUGGCCUCUGGUGUAUUGGGGCGAGUAGCUGAGCCAGCCAAGGAGAGGUUGGAUGAUUAAGCAAGAAACAAGGGAUUCUUGGUUAAACUGAAGACUUCGUUUGGGAACCAAAAAUCUUAACAAAUAGUCUCUUGGACCUUGAGCCACAUAUUUCCCCUGAAAAGUAUGCAUUUUUUUUCCAGCAAAAUUUUGUUGGGAGUUACGUUAUUGAGGAAUGAACUGAGAUGAAUAUGCACAACUUUUAUUUAAUGGCAUACUACGCUAGAAAUCUGAAGACCUGCGGGAGAUAUAAAGUUCCAACUCUUGUUAUAACUUUUUAAAAGAUUGUGAAAUUAUAAAAAUGCACAUGAAUCAAGUUUUAAUAUACUGUAUGAUGGGUGGGUGAGGCUGUCCAUUGUACCAUUUCUUUCUUUGAAUUCUCAGGCAUGGUUUGGCAGUGCAAGAACUCUGUAACAUUAACAAAUUCAAUAAAAGGUAAAUAUAUGGA